rnacentral:rRNA from 1 species
AACGAACGCUGGCGGCAGGCUUAACACAUGCAAGUCGAACGCCCCGCAAGGGGAGUGACAGACGGGUGAGUAACGCGUGGGAAUCUACCCAGUUCUACGGAAUAACCCAGGGAAACUCGGACUAAUACCGUAUACGCCCUACGGGGGAAAGAUUUAUCGGAAUUGGAUGAGCCCGCGUUGGAUUAGCUAGUUGGUGGGGUAAUGGCCUACCAAGGCGACGAUCCAUAGCUGGUCUGAGAGGAUGAUCAGCCACACUGGGACUGAGACACGGCCCAGACUCCUACGGGAGGCAGCAGUGGGGAAUAUUGGACAAUGGGCGCAAGCCUGAUCCAGCCAUGCCGCGUGAGUGAUGAAGGCCUUAGGGUUGUAAAGCUCUUUCAGUGGGGAAGAUAAUGACGGUACCCACAGAAGAAGCCCCGGCUAACUUCGUGCCAGCAGCCGCCGUAAUAC